AUUAAUAAUACCUUUUCAAGGCCCUCCUAACAUAAAAAUACAUAAUUAUUUCAGCUGAAAUCAUCUCACAAGGGUUAUUUUCUAUGAGAAUCACCCGUUAGAAACAUUUAAUUUCAGUAUUUCCCAAUGAAAUUUCUAAUGGUGGGGGGGUACGUCAUAAGGAUACGUCAAGGAUCAAAACUUUAAACACUUAUAGCUUUUGACAGAAUAAUCAGAUCUCCUCGUACUACAUACAGCUCACUCUUCUCAGCUCGUCAAGGCGGUUCAAAAUCAUGUAUCAUAACUGAAAUUUGAUGAAAAGAUAGAAAAUUCAUCCUUUAGUGCAUUUUAGCCCAUAUUUAAAUACACAGAAAAAUGGGCAAUUUCUAUAUUCAAAACUGUGUAUCUCGGUAAUAAUAAUUUUUUCAAUUGGCUGUAACUUUUGAACGUUAUUGAAAUCAGAAAAACGAUCCAUAAGAGCGAAAAGAAGAGAUAAUUCUCUACAAUCUUGACUAGUGUUUCACAAGAUACGCAACUUUGAAUAUGCAAGAAAUUUGUGAUAUGUAAAUCAUUUUCACAGUCUCGCAUAUUAAAAGUUGCGUGUCUUGUGAAACACUUCAGAUGAAAAAUUCAAGAAGUAGUCAAGGUUGUAGAGAAUUUUCUCCUCUUUUCGCUCCCAUAAAUCGUUUUUCUGAUUUCAAUACCGUUCAAAACUUACAGUCAAUUGAAAAAACUAUUAUUUUCAUUUUCUCAUUUUUUCUGCGAUUUUACUGUUAUUCAAGAGUCUCUUAAACGAGUAAGAUACAUUAUAGUAACCUGCGAUUGGUCUCUAAUGAAUGAGAAUUACAUGCUCUAUAAGCUGCGUUGCCUUAAAUCCAUCUUGCAUGACUGUUUAUUAUCGAAAAACUGUGAAAAUGAGGAAAAUAUCGCAAAUUUCUUGAUUUUUUGAAACAAACGUAUCUUACUUCACGAUCAUAUUUUUACAAAAAUCAUUUACCUCACAUGAAAGAGGAGAUUCUGUUCUUCAAAUCAAGACCAAGUACCAUUUUUUAUCAUUUCGGGUUACCGAGAUACACAGUUUUGAAUAUAGAAAUUGGCCAUUUUUCUGUGUAUUCAAAUAUGAGCUAAAAUGCACUAAAGGAGGAUUUUUCUAUUUUUUCAUCAAAUUUCAGUUAUGAUACAUGAUUUUGAACCACCUUGACGAGCUGAGAAGAAUGAGCUGUAUGUAGUACGAGGAGAUCUGAUUAUUCUGUUAAAAGCUAUAAAUGUUUAAAGUUUUGAUCCUUGAUGUAUCUAACGGGUGAUUCUCAUAGAAAAUAACCCUUGAGAGAUAAUUUCAGCCGAAAUAAUUAUGUAUUUUUUUGUUAGGAGGGUCUUGAAAAGGUAUUAUUAAUGAAAAAUUUGUAUUUUGGCUGUAGGACAUGAUUUUCUAUUUUUGGGUGUAUUCCCUCUCCCCCACUACUAAAUUCGAAAAUUCCUAGGAAUCCUGUUCAGAAUGAAUUGUUCUUUCACGUGAUAUGUGAUUUUUUAUCUUUACUAGAAAAAUAUCCAAGUUGUAUUGGAUAGAAGUGGCAGGUUUACAUAAUUUUGAAAACCCCUUAAAAAUAUCCUUUUUUUGAAAAUUCUUAGAUCCGGAACCAAAAAUGGAGAAUCCUGCGCGACCACUCAAUUUUAUUAUAUUUAAUUUUGUUGAGAAUGAUUUUUCUCCAAAAACUCGAAGUUUUCGAGAUUAAAUGGAAAAAUAAAAAAAAACCCUACAUUUUCGGGGGUGAAGCCGCCCUCUGGCUUGUCAGAAAAUUUCAGAUUCAAAUUCAGCGCCCCAAAAUACAUAUAGAACCGUCGAGAAAAAUUCUUUCGGGGCUGUUUCCUGAAAAACGACCAUUUGACUGGACUAUAUAUUUUUAGAGAUCUAUGUUAUAGUAUGUAAUGCUUGUAAUUUCAAUAGUUUUGGAGUUUAUUGGUUCAUUCAUGUAUCAUAAACUUAAUAAAGUUGGUUCUAUCUGAGUUCCGUUUUUCA